GCUGACGCUCGCGGCGGAGGCGCCGGGGCCACCGCUCGGGGGCGAGGGCUCGAGCGCUCCUCCCGCUUUACGGCUGCUGAAAACCCGGCCCGCGCCCGGCAGCCGUACCGCAGACGAGCCCGCGCCCGCGCCGCUCAGAUCUCCCAGCUGGACACUGGAAAUAGCUUUUGAUGGUUUAGGGCCUCUUUCACUUGACCUCAGCUUAUCAUGUUGGGGCUGCUGCUGCUAAGUCGCUUCAGUAGUGUCUGACUCUGUGCGACCCCAUAGAUGGCAGCCCACCAGGCUCCCCCGUCCCUGAGAUUCUCCAGGCAAGAACACUGGAGUGGGCUGCUAUUUCCUUCUCCAAUGCAUGAAAGUGAAAAGUGAAAGUGAAGCUGCUCAGUCGUGUCCGACUCUUCUCGACUCCAUGGACUGCAGCCUACCAGGCUCCUAGGUAACAAAUACUAAUAUUUCCUAUUCAUUGAAACAGGAAAAAAAAGAUUAGCUUUUUAUGUCUGAUUUCUGUAAUACUGACAUUCGACGGGAGAGAUGCCUGAACUCUGUUUUGAAAGUCUGAUGUGGUGGAAAAACAUUAGGAUUUAGCAUCCAUGGUCCUUGGUUCAAAUUCUGCCACUACUACCUUAGGUAUACUUGGAUAAGUUCCUAAAGUAUCUUGAGUCUUAUUUUUCUCCUAUCUCAAAUGAGAACAAUACUAUUCAUCUUUUAUAGUUGUUUUAAAGGUUAACAAAAAUACACAGAAAACAUCCUAGUGCCUUGCAUAUAGUAGCCACUAUAUUGUGCUUAGUCAAUCAGUCAUGUCUAACACUUUGUGACUCCAUGAACUAGAG
rnacentral:lncRNA from 1 species